GUGGGGAAUAUUGGGCAAUGGGCGCAAGCCUGACCCAGCAACGCCGCGUGAAGGAAGAAGGCUUUCGGGUUGUAAACUUCUUUUACCAGGGACGAAACAAAUGACGGUACCUGGUGAAUAAGCCACGGCUAACUACGUGCCAGCAGCCGCGGUAAUACGUAGGUGGCGAGCGUUAUCCGGAUUUAUUGGGUGUAAAGGGCGUGUAGGCGGGACAGCAAGUCAGAUGUGAAAACCAGAGGCUCAACCUCUGGCCUGCAUUUGAAACUGUUGUUCUUGAGUGUAGGAGAGGUAAUCGGAAUUCCGUGUGUAGCGGUGAAAUGCGUAGAUAUACGGAGGAACACCAGUGGCGAAGGCGGAUUACUGGACGAUAACUGACGCUGAGGCGCGAAAGCGUGGGGAGCAAACAGGAUUAGAAACCCCGGUAGUCC
rnacentral:rRNA from 1 species